rnacentral:misc_RNA from 1 species
UUCCCGGUCGAAUGGCAUUUAUUUUUAACAUGGAGGGUGGGUACUCUCAUGAUAUUCCAACCACAUUGCACCGGAGUAAAGCUGAUUGUCCAGUGCCAGAGGAAAUGGUUACUGUUAGUGUUGAUGGAUCUGUGCUGGAUCGAAUUGCUAAAAUUAUGUCAUAUCUUCGCCUUGGAUCUUCUGGGAAGGUUCUCAAGAAGAAAAAGAAGGAAAAAGAUGCAAAAGGAAAAGUUUCAGCUGCUAGCAAUGAAUAUGAUGAAGAGGGUAAGCAUGCAAAACCAAAUGGGGGGAUUUUGAACAAUAAAACUGAAAGAGAGAUUUUGCCUCUGCCACCACCACCACCACCACCUCCCAAGAGAGUUCAGUUUGAUUCUCAAGAGAAGCUGGGUCCUGCAGUUGCUAGGGAAGAAGAGAAUGACAUAUUUGUGGGAGAUGGUGUUGACUAUCAUGUUCCUGGAAAAGACAUGAGCCAAAGCCCUAUUUCAGAGGACAUGGAAGAGUCACCUAGAAACAAAGAUAGAACUUCCUAUUUCAAUGAACCUGUUUAUGGCCCCGUCCCUCCUUCUGCACCUUCUCAGGAUUGGCAAGACCUGAAUGGAUAUGAUGCAGUGCAAGUUCAAGCAUUGGCUAGUGGCUACCAGGGAGAGUGGCAAGAUUACCAAUAUGCUGAGCAGUUGGCAUAUCCUGAACAGUAUCUCCAGCAAACAGUGCAGGC